rnacentral:rRNA from 1 species
UACGAAGGGUGCAAACGUUGCUCGGAAUUACUGGGCGUAAAGGGCUCGUAGGUGGCCAACUAAGUCAGACGUGAAAUCCCUCGGCUUAACCGGGGAACUGCGUCUGAUACUGGAUGGCUUGAGUUUGGGAGAGGGAUGCGGAAUUCCAGGUGUAGCGGUGAAAUGCGUAGAUAUCUGGAGGAACACCGGUGGCGAAGGCGGCAUCCUGGACCAACACUGACACUGAGGAGCGAAAGCCAGGGGAGCAAACGGG